GGGGGGGGGUCCUACUACAGAAAGGUGUCAUUAGGCCCAUAAGACCUCACUCUGGAGGAGAGCACAGAGUCGAGCGGAGGAGAUAAUCUCUUCACUGAACGGAUACGGAGGGAGAGAAACUGGACUGGCGUCAGGCCUGUACGACUGCCUAACCCACCCCGGGAUAACCACAGGUUAAAACCACGUGAACCAUCUGAAGAAGACCAAGACUGUUCCUGAUGAGAACCACUUUUAUACAUAAUAAGAUACUUAACCAGCAUUCACUGCAAAUAUGAAAAGGGUUUGGGGUUAGUCCUCAGCAGUUCGAGUAGCACCAAGGGGUCUGAGGACUAGUAAUGGAAAGUUGAUCAGACUAGCUGAGAUGACCAGUGGACACUACUCUAGCCAAGCCAUUCACCACGGCAACCAGAUAAUUCCAGGAAGGAAUGGAGAGAGGGGAUUGACCAAUGGAAGUUGAGAGAAUGUCAGUGUGUUCUAAAGCAACGUGUAGAGAACUCAUCUUCUGACGAGUCAUUGGGAUGUCCGGGCUGAGCGAGAGAGAGCGAGAACACUACUACCUAGUAUGUAUAUGUGAUGGAGACAGAUUGGCCAUGAGGGAGCAUGCAGGUGUAGCAGGGUUGGCAGAACUUGGCACAUAAAUUAUAUGAUCUCAUAAGGUGAAUGCACCAAUUUGUAAGUCGCUCUGGAUAAGAGCGUCUGCUAAAUGACGUAAAUGUAAAAUGGUCAAUGUAAAGAGAUACGUGUAAAACAUUAAUACAGGACAGUCAAGGACAUGGGUGGUGAAGCUAGAUUGCAGUUCAAUGAAAUACCUAUGACAAUGAAUGAGAAAUCAUGAAAAGAAUAGGUUUGUAUUGAGACAAACUUUUAGGAACAGGCAAACAGGAGACAAUGUAAGACAUAGGAAGAUGAAAGAGCACUUACUAUUUGCCUCUACAGGGUCAAAUUGACUGGCCCCCUAGCAGGCCAACCAAACAGCCUUCUCCUCUCUGAUACAGAUUACUCUCACUCAUAAUAGUAGCAGAUGUUGUGGCAUCUAGAAAGACUAGACACUACAGUGAGGUUACACCACCAGACUACAGUGAGGUUACACUACCAGACUACAGUGAGGUUACGCUACAGUGAGGUUACACUGCCAGACUACAGUGAGGUUACACUGCCAGACUACAGUGAGGUUACACUACAGCGAGGUUACACUACAAUGAGGUUACACUGCCAGACUACAGUGAGGUUACACCACUAGACUACAGUGAGGUUACAUUUAAGUGAGAUACAGUACUAGAUUAGAGUGAGGUUACACUACCAGACUACAGUGAGAUUACACUACAGUGGGGUUACAGUACUAGACUACAGUGAGGUUACACUACAGUACACCAGACUACAGUGAGGUUACACCACCAGACUACACUGAGGUUACACCACUAGACUACAGUGAGCUGUAGAACGGACAGACAGAGUUUUAGAACAGAGGGAGAGCUGUAGAACAGAGGGCACAGAGAGAGAGAGAGCUUUUGAACAGAGGGAGCGACUUGUAAUGUUCAGCCUGUUAUUAAAAUACAACCAGCUGAGAUGUGCAUAUGAAUGAUCCUAUUUAUGAGAUGUACUAUAUAUUUAUUUUAUUACAUAUAUAAAGUAUAAAUCUAUUUAUUUAUUGCAAAGACUAUUUUGUAAUGAACUUGACGUUAUCACAACUGUAGAUUCUACUGAAAACUGUUAUUAAAUGAAUUUGGCAAUAAAA
rnacentral:lncRNA from 1 species